CACGCCGUAAACGAUGCUAACUCGUUUUUGGAUUUUCGGAUUCAGAGACCAAGCGAAAGUGAUAAGUUAGCCACCUGGGGAGUACGUUCGCAAGAAUGAAACUCAAAGGAAUUGACGGGGGCCCGCACAAGCGGUGGAUUAUGUGGUUUAAUUCGAUGAUACGCGAGGAACCUUACCAAGACUUAAAUGGGAAAUGACAGAUUUAGAAAUAGAUCCUUCUUCGGACAUUUUUCAAGGUGC
rnacentral:rRNA from 1 species